ensembl:lncRNA
GGUGAAAGGAAACAAAAUCUGGUUGAACAUUAACCCCAAUUUUCUUUUCCAAAAGUCUUAGUUGGGAAGAUCUGUUUGUAACACUGUACUUAGAGAUACUGCUGAAGGUCUCCAUACCAGAUGGGCACAUAACAGCCGCGGGCACAGCCUGCCAUGCUUCUCACUCCCAUGGCAGUCUCCAUCCUGCACUGCAGCAGCUAUGGAGUAAUGCAAGCAGAACACACCAAGAGGCUUUGGAAAUUUAUUCCAUCUGUUGUGUUGUGUUUUGGCUGAAGAACAGUCCAAGUCCUAUCACUCAUGGUUACGGGAUUGUGCGCUCUUACGACUCCUGCAACUAAUAGCAGGUUACAACAGUAGGAAUCCUUUCCUGGCCACUUCCCAGUGCUUGCAGCCUUUCCUAGGGACUGCAGCGAUAUGCAGAGCUGCCCUGGCCCGACAGCCUGCUGGCUUGUCUCUGGCAGCAGGACACAGCACAUGUCUACAGGAAGAGAUAACAACAUGGCAGAUGCAUGGUGUGGUCUUCGGUCUUUUGUGGUUCAAUGACUUCCUGCGCCAGAAUCUCUUUCUAUGAGGCUACAUGCUAUCAAUAUAUCCUAGUGGAUUAAACAGUUCUUACAAUCCAUGUUUGAACCCAGCACUUAGGGACCUCUCCCAUGAACACUUCACCUUCAUAGCAGACAUUACAUUAGGGAUCCUGUUGGUGACUCAGCAGCGUCUCAUGCCAAUGAACUAAGUAACAGCAAUGAAUUCAAAGCCAGUUCUAAUGCACCAAAGAAAGAGAAUGGCAGACGUUUGGAUGAGGAGUAAUAGCACUGGACUCAGGCAAAUUUUGUUUGUCUACCCAACAUCACAGCAACGGACUGUCAAGCAUCCAGUGCACAAACCAUGUGAUUAACCUGGACAGCUAGGCAAAGUGAAAAUGGGUAUUUAUGCAGCACUGGAGGACCUGUGCUGCAUACUGAGCUGCCACUAUGUCUGUCAACACUCUCCUUUCCCAAGCCUUUUUGUCUCCAUGUUAAUUAUGUCUUUCAGCACUUCCUAAAGCUUUAGUGUAUUUUUCUUGUGUUCCUCCUCCAAUCUCCCUCUCGUCCCAUGACUCCCAUCCUGCCUACUUACUGUUCAUCUCUCAGCUGUUUCUGCAACACUGUCACAUGGCUGGGCUGAGUCAGGCAACCUGGGCCUAAGGACAAACCUGAGAGGAAAACUCGUCUUUCCAAACAUCAAAUUUUCUUCAUAAUCAGAAAAUCAGCAGUCCAUACCGAUGAUCCAAAAGGCAUUACAUAAAUAUUAUAUUACACUUUCUUCUUCCUGCUAGCAUCAUCAGAAUUUUUGCUAUAAUUGGUAAGUUUAGGCAAGACUUAAUGACCAGUAUAUUCCUAACAAAGUAUAUGAAGCAUCUCCCUGAAUUUGAGUAAUUUAAGGCAGUUCACACUAUCAAGAUUCACAGCACUAAAUCAAUCUCAUCUCCAUGUGCGAUAUUUUAUGCCUCCAGGUAUCUGUAUUUCUGAAUACAAAAUGCAUUUCUGUAUGCAAACAGAUCAGGUUUAUCUGAACAGCUUGCUGCCCUUUGUCUAUCCAAAAUGUCCUUUUCAGGUGCAAUGAUGCAUUCAGAAGCUCGACUGAGUAGCACUAAAAUUUCGUGAAAAUCUAUUUAGUGUGCAUUCGUAACGGAGCAGAUUUCUCCUCAGAUCCACUACCAACUAUUUGUCAAAUGGCUAUCCUAAGGAAAACAAACUAACAUGAUCCCAGAUCAAGACUUUUUUGCAACCAGAAUGAAUUUCACAUAAACUUUUGCCUGUCACUACUUAAUCACCAUUUAUUCACAGUAACUAUGCAUCGCUAUCUUAUGGUUGCUGUCCUUUCCUACAGAGAUGGGGGGUUCAGGACAUUAGUUCAUCUGUAGAUCCUAAGAAGUUAUCUCUCCCCCAGAAUAUGCAAUGUGUAGAAAAACCCUACGGAGCUGUUCCUCCUUUAGUGUCCACCAGGCUCCCCACAGUAUCCAGGAACAAUUAUGGAAAUAAUCGUUGUUCUAAGCGAAGGACUACACGAUGAUGCGUAAAGUUUAAUAACAAAAGCUUCCCCUGCUCCAUCCGUCUUGCUGUCAGCUAGACUGUGGCAGGAAGCACAAGGGGUUAAUGUCAAAAUACAUCCCCUGAUACCCCGAUUGCCUUUCCCUACCCAUUGUUUCCCAACUUCUUUUGAAUGGUCAGAAAUUUUCCGCUUGAGUAAACCAUCAACAGAGCUGGACCAAAUGGAAAAAUGAGUAGGACAAAAAUGAACCUUGCUGGUAAUACAGAAAGGAGACCUGGUUACAGAGCCACGCAUUUCUAGUGCUAGCAUUUAUUGUGAAAAUAGUGUAAUUAAACAAUGAUUUUUUUUCCCUCUUGCAGCAAAAAAUUGUUUGAGGAUAUCAACAUUUUGUAGAGUGCCAUAAAUCUGGUAAAUCUAGCUAUGGAUAACUCAGUACUCAGAAUGGAAAAGGAAUUAACCCAACUCUUUGGAAAGCUUUAAGAAAAAAGCUUUUCAAAAUAGAGCAUCACCGUGUUUUCCUCACACUGCUCCCAUCAGCUUUCCUUCAGCCUGAUGCUUGAUUUCAGAAGUAGCCUCUCUCACCAAUACAUGAGGGCUUCCCGUUCUUCCCUUCCGUUCUGAUCACACUUAGUAUUCUCAUAUUAGUGUGGGUAGCAAAAAAAAAUACAUUCUCACAAAAAACAAGAGUAGUGCAUUUCAGUUAUGGUUUUCUAUUGAUUCAGUUACACUUGAAUUGAUCUCAAAUUGUUUCAAGCAACUGUUCUGCACCCAAAACACCGCACGAACCACAGAAACCAGAUCAAUAGAUUUCAAGUGAAAUAAUUGUUUUCCUUUGUAAGACCCCAUUACUUCUUGAAUGAAGAACUGUUUGAUUGACCUCCAGGAAAGCAGCAGAUGUGAAUAAGCCAAGCACCUCAGGCCUUAUCAUUUAAAGGGAGGCCUUGAAAAUUACAGGAAAGUACAUGGCCAUGUGCUCGGGUAGCUGUGGGAAAUACACAGCUGGAGAAGCCACAAAGCUGCAUUCUACACGAACAAAAUGAGAGCAGUAGCACGUGGCAGAAGUGGCAGAAAUACACUUUUAGUCACCACAAACACACCAAAAAAAUGUUCUACUAGAUAAGAAAAAUGUUCAAGGAUUCUUGAGUGACUGAUUUUAUUUGCACAGUGUUAGCGUUAGUGAGCUUAUUGUCUGGCACUGAUAAAUGUCAUGUAGCUGUGCCCCUGGGCUCACGUCUGUCCCAGUGUGUUCCACAACUGUAGUGCUCUGUGAGUGCGGCCCUUUCCAGGCUGCCACAUUCAGACACACAAGGUAGAGGCAGUAGCCAAGAAAAUCAGGGUGACCUCAUUGGAUCUACCGGCAGGAUGCAGAUUUAUACCAGGUCACCAAUUCACUGGGGUGCCUAAGUGCUGUCAAACAGAGUAAGACAGACUCUUCUAGAGGCUGAGAGCAGGUUGAUGGGGCUACACUGACCCUAGCACAUGAAAUGCUAAUAGCAUCCCCAGGCCACACCUGCAGCAUCGCACUGGAGCCAUCCAGCUGCAGCCCUGCCUCUGUGUGCUCAGGACCUUCCCUCACCCACCUGCAACUGCACCUUUUGCAGGGAAAGGAGAGCCCAGAGAGCAUCCCCUGUCUACAGCUGUGGGCAAAAACAGGAAGGCUUCAAGAAGCCGUGCAGGAGUGAGACAAAGCAGUGCUGAAGGCAGCGGUGCCUGAGAUUAGGGCUGCGGUGUGGAAUGGAGCAGCUGGCCAGAAGGUUAGGACACCUAGAGAGCAUCACUACUGGAAGGUGAUGCUGCAGUAACAAACAUGACAGGCUGGACCUGUCAAUCUCAGCCCCAAAUACCACACUGUCAUCAUUAUAGAGGUUGAGAUGGCACAUGGCAGCAGCAAAGUUACUGCUUAGGUAAUGCAAAUGUGGGUGUUCCCCCAGCGGGUGGCAAUAUGAUGUUACAGAAAACACAUGUGCAGCUACUCAUAAAUUGCAGUUUUCAUCAGCAGUUCUACUUGUAGAUAAUUCCUGCCCUCAGUUGAUGCUUCCCCCACAAAAAAAGUAGGAAAGCAGAAUACAGUGGUGAUAUUUUGUGGUCCUCAGACAAAUGCUGCUCUCCCUAGUAACAGUCCUCCUGGUAUUGGAAAUCUUUAUUUCUUCUAAUUAUAUUGCAAAUAAAUUAAAUGAUCGCGUUAUACCAUAGUAUGUUUUUGUAGGGAAGUCUUGGUUAGCUCUUAGCACAUAUUAGACCUGAUCUGCGCUUUACUCUUUUAUGAGCACAAUUAACUGCAAACACCUUGUCAUAAACAUUUUAAAAGGUCAACAGAUUGCAACAAUUUUGCUAAAGAGAUAAAUGGUCAAAUAAAACAUUGAAUUGUUAAUUCCCAGGUGACAAAAAGCUGCAUGAGUCAGAUCAAUAAGAAGACACAGAGUGAAUUCUGGGAUAAAGGGCGGGUCAACCUUGAAGCGUUAAUAACUCGCUCCUGUUGUUCUGCUCUGGCACAUCAUGUGUUCUAGCAGGUAAAUGAGCUGCUAAUAGCAAAGUAGUGCCCACAGACUCACAGAAGUAAAAGUGGGCGUCAGAGAUUAUUGAAAUGGGAAAAAUAAAUUAAAAAAAAAAAAAAAGAAAGAAAGGACUUAGCUCUGUUAACACCAGGAAAAACAAUGAGUUUAUAGCAGACAGGUAAGAGCACAAUCUUCCUACUAUUUCUAAUCUAACGUGUUAGUCAACUGCUGGGUAGGGCGUAUGCUUUCUCUUUCUCUCUUUCCAGAUUUUCUCCUUUCAACCUUAAUCUUAAUGCUGGGCUUUUAUUAAACAGUGUCUGUUGAAAACAUACUGCUUUACUUAAGAGAAUUUUAGGAAAUGGUUGUAUUAGGCAACAAAUGAGUGUGCUGACAUGAUGUUCAGGUGGUCUGUACUGUCAGAGAUGUUGUUACGGAAUUAGAACGAUGUGUAUCAGCUUAAAAUCUGCCCCACAGAAUACACCAGUGUUUGUGGAAGGUCAGACAGAGAAAUUAGCAUCCUUGACAGAUAUAUGCUCAUCUAAGAGGCAGAUUCCUUUUGGUGUUUCUAUAGCAGAUGACGCUGCCACCCUUGUGCUCAGCAUUCCUGUCAGCUGGAAACAGUAUUUUAUAAGUUAGUCCUCCUUUUUCUGGGGAACUCAUGCCUUCCUGUCACUUAACUGGCCAUUCAAAUCAAAAUGCAAGUUGGAAAUUGAGAAUGUGCCACUGACAAUUGAAAUGUGAAAAUUUGGAUAAGAGCAUCAUCAAGUCAGAAUACUGGGCAUGAAGGAGGGACUUACAGAAUCCUGCAGGUGACUCUCUGUUUUCUAUAACUCACCCCACGCGAUAUGAUAUUAACUGGAUUACAGUAAAAGUCCUACAAAACAGAUUUUGCUGUUAAAACUCCCCCCCAUCCCAUUUUGUGACUACCUUUAGAUGAGAUGACUGUUUGCUUUUUUUUCAAAUUGUUAAAAUUUCCCUUCUGUCUUAUUCAUAAAAUUCCUACAUAGAGCAGCUAAAUGCCAAAUAUGUCACUUGGAACUGUUUAUUGAAUGACUGUGGCCAGAAGCUGGCUCUUAUUCACCCGUGAGGUAGAAUGGGCUCCUAUUUUCACUUUAUUCUUGGGAACAAAGUGAGGAGAAUCUGAGGCCAUUGGAAAGAGACCACCUGAAGAACUCUUCCCUAAAGCAACUCUAUUUUUUCAGACCUUUACAGGGAAGAAUACAAAAUUUGCAGCCUACGUGCCAAGAAAAUCGGCUUACCAUUAUUUAAUUAAGGAUAUCUUGGAAUAAAAGACAGACUUUUCAAAGAAGACUAUGAAACUUACAGAACUAAAAAUGAAAAAAACAUGUAAAGUCCAUCAGGAAUCGGUAGCUUCUCAUACUUAAAGAAAAAUAUCUACCACCAUUAUGGGAAGGUCUGAGGAACUCAAAACAAAGCAAAGCAUUAGUUACUGGUAUAAAAUAUAGACAGCAACGUCUAUAUUGAUCCCACUGGACACUUGAAGCCAAAUGAACAUUUGAAAGGUCAGUAAUUUUACUUGUGCCAAAUUGGAUGUUUGUCAUUUGUAUCAGACCGGAAGGCAAAUAUCUGAGUAAAUUCAUACGUAAAUUUGAUUACCCCAUAGCUCUAACAGCAAUCUUAUGUCAUCUGACAUGAAAAAUGAAGAGAAAGCACAUAAUCCCAUAUAGCAUGCUGAUCUAAGGGUUGCACAUAGCAUAGAAAUACAUUACAUGGCAAAUGCCUAUUUUUGCAAGCUUUAUAAAUGCCACAAAAACAUGUCUUCCUCUGACAGCAAAUUUUAAGGUUCUGUUGGCUACUCAUUAAAUGAUUUUACAGAUGGAGAUAAACCCUAUUCUUUUAGUGCACUUCAGAAAUAUCUGUUGGGUCUUAGGCAGACUGUAAUUUAAAUGGAUUUAUUUUUAAUUGGUUUUAAUAUUUAAACAAAAAAUUGACUCAAUCAGUUUCCUAGUCAACUCUGAAGCGUGAUUUUAGCUUUAAGAAGAGAAAGGCACAGAACUGUAUUUUUGCAAAAAGAAAAAAAUAUAUAUUUCCACUUAGUGUCUUCUAAAGACAUCACUUGAUACAUACAGCACGAGGCCUCAAGGCUCGAUCAAUCAAUGGCAGUUAUGCCACUAAAAUUAAUGGCUACAGGACGUGACUCAGGUGAGAUUUUCUUUUCCUGGAGUAUUUAAAAUUUAGAGAGUAGCCUGAGAGAUUUCUACAACACAGAUAUAAUGGUAAUAAAUAACAAUCACUAAAUGGAUCUGUCCAAUAUGGCAGAGGAAACAACGGUAAAAUAGUUCAAGCAGAUGUUAAGGCGGUAUCUCUCGUGAUGAAAUCAGCUGACAUCCUCAGAAUACACAUGAACGGUACAAAGGACAUGAACUGACAUCCUACCCUUCUGCAACCCCUCAGGGUUUAUAGCACUUCUGCAAAAUUUCUGGUGACUUCCAGCCCCAUUCUUCCACAACCCAGGUACCUGGAAGCUGCCCCGAUCCACUUUUAUUUCCACAGCCAUCAUCUCCUACACCACUCCUCUUUAGGAAGGUGGAAAAAAAAGAUUGAUGCAAAACUAUACACUGGCACCUAUUGGAAUCUGUGUGACAAACUGCACCCAUCCUUCAGGGAAACACAAAACAGACAGUGACUACCGCAUGGACCUUCCUUUGUCCGUGACACCUAGGAAAGGAAAGCGUUCAACACUGGCAGCCUAGGGGUUAGCAGGACACGAGAGCCCCCGGCAAUGCUUCCCUCCACUGCAAAAUUACAGCUAUGCUUCGCUGCCUUUCGCUGCACCCCAGGGUACAGGAAAACAAAAAGUCCAACAUCGCCUCUGCUCUUUUGUUGCUGUGAUUGUAAAGAUACCCAUGUUAUGGUCCACAGAUUUCUGGCUAGCGUGAAGAUCACACUCUGACAGGCCUACAAAGAAAGAGUAAAAGAUUUUUUUAGGCUUCCUCCAAUGCGAUUAAGUACAGGUUGCUAUCAAAGAAAGUCCAUUACGGUGAUAGUCUGCAGGGCUACCUCUGAACCCCUACCUACAAUUGAGCUCUGGUUAGCUAUCAUUAAUAUUUCAAUUUCAUCACUUGCUGCUAAUUUCGUUUGUUGGGCUACAUGACAUCAAAAGCAUAUAAACGAGGUGCUUUGACACCCUACAACCGUCCAGUACCACACUUUGCUGCUGCUGUUUGCUUUAUUUAGCUAUGCACACCUGGUUUCCCUGGAGCCCUCACUUCCACAAGAAGCAUGCACACGAGCCUUUUCUUUGCAGGCUCACUCGCUCUCUGACACCCAGUCUGACUGUCGGGCCCACCGUUUGAGCCAGGAAGCUUGUAACAUAUCAAUAGUGGCACAGAAAGUUUCCUCACAUAACAGAAGACAGAACAAGCCGUUUUUAAAAUCACAGCUUCUCACUAAUUUUAAAGACAAUAUAAUUUACAUCACUUGAGAUAUGCCAUGAAAUAAUCUGUUUUGCACGAUGUUCUUUUAACCAAUACACACCACUGACAUAACUAAAGUGCCCUUGGUCUGCCCAGAGAGGAAAGUUAACAGCGUGUGUUAUGUGCCUUGUAGUAAUCCUAGUGGAGCACGAAUGUUAGCUUAUUAAAGCAAAUCCCAUCUACUAAAUACCCACAAAGAACUCGAUAGCCCUGACCGACUGCUAUAGUGGUUUUAAUGCCUCAAAAUUCUAACACCGGUUUUUACAAACUGAAUAAUGUGAUAGCCCCACAGGAUAGCAGCUUAACCAGAAAAGCUCUGCGUUGCACAAAUGCAGCCUGAAGUGCAACUAAUUCUUGUGCAGUUUUCCUAAUUAUAUCAAACAAACGUGAUGUGACCCCGUAACUGCGGUCACGUUAAGGCGAGAGUGCGAACCGCUGUGACAGCGCACGUCCUGUGCCUCCCAGCUCCUCCUGUUCCAUUAGCAAGCCCCCGACCUCCCGCGGGACCCCAGCAGCAGCUCCGAGCAGCACAAAGCAGCAGGAGCAGCAUGGAGCAGGUGCUGCAGCUCGCUGCUGCCGUGGUGCACAGGGAGGGAGAGCCGUGGCUCUGCUCCCUACCUCUGAAUUGCCACGACUUGGAGGAGCCUCGCUCCUCUCGCAGGGCAGCUUUAGGAGUGGAUCCUGUGCUUAUCAGGGGUUAUACUGUUACAUAGUUAGACAACCGGUAAGGCUGGAAGAGACACGGCCUAAAGCGCUUCUGUGAUUAGACGCAAAGUCCAGCAUGCGGUACAUUUAAUGGAGGCACAGCAAAAUGAAAUACAUAAAUGUAAAUAAGUUGCCAUCCAGUCAUGCUGCAAUCACAGCACCGCCGUGCUCAGCUCAGACAGCAGUGAGACACAAUGGGAAAACACACACUCUGCACCGUAUCACUUGUGAAGAAUACUGCUUAGCAGUGACGUAACAGCAGCCAUCCUGAUGGAAAGCAUCACCUGUGACUGGCCAUUUGUGGUGACACGUUGUUGACCAUUUGUAUCGUGCUGUCUCCCAUCCCUCUCCUUUCUGCUUUCCACGUGUCCUGUCCCCCUCCCUAACACUCAGUGCUCACCACCCUGAGGACAAAGGCAUUCAGCUUUGCUUUGUUUCUUGCACUGCCACAGUUCUGUGCCAGGCAGGUCGUUAUAGGUGUCUUAAGGAACCUCUAAAAAGCUGUGUUUUCCAUACAGCCGUAACAGUCUCCAGUACUUACUGGGCAAGUCAUGACAUUCCCAAGUGCUCUCAUUCAAAUCAAAUGGAACCAUUGGCAUCCAAAGUCAACAGCACCCUACAGGUGCAAUUACCUGUGCACAUGCCCUUAAAGUUGCAUUUUUAUGUAACCUCUCAAUGCAGACUACCUGCUCUGGUCCCCAGAAUGCAUUUUAAUGCCUUUCAGCACAAAACAAGACAAAGUGAGCACAAGCGUGAUGAAUCCUUCUGAUCCUCCAGCCAGCGCACUUGCCAAGGUAUUAAGCACAACUGCAUGAAUAUAAAACUGCAACGAGGCCGGAAUCAAAUGCUCAUUAAAAUCACACUGCUGACCUUUUAAAAUGACAAUAUAGGAGAGCUGUAGCGAAAAGAAACAGUGAGGGGACAAUAAUAUCGUGUUAGAGCUUUCUCAUCUGUGCGACAGUAAGCUAUGUGUCUCUUCUGCUAAAUAAACACAAGUUGAAAGAAUGUGAUGUUAGUCAGUAGAGGUAUAUAUAGUAAUAAUAUAAUAUUGCAAAAGGAAAUCCAGGCACGUUGUCUAAGACAUGGAAGAGUUGGUGCCUUCUAAAAUUCAGACCUUGCACAACAAUCCGUGCAGGAUUACACACCACUUUAUAUGGCCCGAUCUGAGCACUGCCAGCCCAGGUGGCCCACUGGGCAUACACUGCCAGGUCCUGCAAGCAGCACGUCUCCUUUGGCUCCUCAGGCAGUGGGAGGAAAGGGAGAGGUGUACGUCCCCAUCAUGCAAGGCUAUGCCAUGCAGGGCUGUGCCACCAGUACAGAGCUAACACAGCCAGCACUGCUCUGCCUGCUCCCAGAGACAUGGGCUGUUACGCAGCCAGCUCAGGCACUGACAACGCAAAACAGUUUUCUACUUCUUUCUCCAAACUACAGACAGCCACUUGGGUUCUUAGGAAUUUGGUACUGAAAUGGUGAUUUGUGCUGGUAAGAGGUGUAAAUGGUAAGAGGUGUAAACACACCACGCAUAUGCGGAACCACAUUUAGAGAAACAGCUUCUUACACAGCCCUCGGCACUGGCAAGCCAAGCCAUUUUGUCUGUUAUAUUCCUAUUUCCGUGUGUCUCAGUGUGUCUGUAAUAACACACAGAGCCCUCUGCCUUGGUGAAUUGUUAGCAACAUGUUAAAGAAACAUUCAUUUGGGUCUCCAAAGUCCUGGCAAACUUGGACCGAAUUCAGAGCAGGUGCCAAUUUAGGGCUGAAUAUAAACUAAUGAGACAUAAAAAUGUCCCUUUGGUCGUUCUUUUAUGAUGCAGCAGGGGGCCGUUUCUUCUCAGACAGCUCUUCCUAUUAAAUGUCCAUCAGUGAGAAAUUUGGAAUAUCCUCUGAGAGUGUUUCUUUGGGGAGACAGCUGAAACCUCCAAGCUGUGCAUCCCUUCAACACUCGUCUUAUCCCACAGUUCAUCUAACUUAGUUGUUCGGCCCCAUCUUUUCAGCUUUGGGCUUCAAAUUCUUUCCCACUCCCUGAGGCAUGCUAUAUACUUGUUUUUAAAAUCUUGGAGAAUACAAAAUAAUUUGUUCUCCUGCCCAGCGUCUACAGAGUUAUUUGGGAACAGCGGGAUUUCUUUAAGGCUCCUGAUUGAGUUUCUCAUUUAAGUGCAGAAAAGCAACUUCUAUUCUGCACCCCUCUCAGCAGAUUGUAGUAAAAGAGGAGAGGGAAAAAAACAAACAGCAAAGCUCUGACAGAUGGUACCCAGCGUUUGACUCAUGCUGGGCUCAGCAGGACCUAUAGUUUAGAAGGUUAGGACUGUCAAAAAGACUCUGCUUAUCAAGUGAGUAACAAAGUGUGGACUGCCAGGCUGUUUCCUAUAGAAAACUUGCAUUUUACAUGUAAUUCUCAGCUAUCUUUCUGAUGCUUCCGAAACUUCUGAGGAGCAGAUGCAUGCUUUUCUAUUUAAGAAGCAGUGGGAAGCUGCCCUGCUGGGAGCAGCCGGCAGCACGGCCGGCCGGGGGCUGAGGGGACCUCCGAGUAAACCAGGGAGCAAGGGCAGGACUCUUCUUCUUCAUUCUCCUUCUCUCGCAGUUCAUUCUCUCUUCAAUCCUUGCCCCAGUCUGAGGACUGCCUUAGCAAAGCGAUGUGGCAAAAUGCAAGCAAAGGCAGAAGGGUCAGAGCACGAGGCAGCGCUUACCAGGCUUUUCUUUUUAAGUCAUUUCCGAGCUCAUGCCAGUCAGCAUUUAUCGCAGCACAGAAGUGUCUGAUGUGACUACAAACAUUAGUGAGCAGACCUGAAGGCAAUCUGAAGUCUGGAGAAGUGCAAAUAAGAGGUUAACAGCUUGUACCCCUGUUCACUGGACCGUCAAACCCUCGACCCUGGUCAGUCAGUGCAGAGCUUUCAGUAACAGCAACACGCCAAGAGUUCAUUCUGCUAUUUAUGAGAGGUAUCCUGUACUUCGUAUCAAUCCACUCACUCUACAAACUGACUUCUAGCUACACGAGAGGCUGCAGUAAGAUGGUGCUGUGCUGUACAGUGCUCCUCCAUCCACUCUGCAAAGCCCCCCGGCAGCUGCCAGGAGAGGCCGCAGCUGUACAGAAGCUGAUGUAUAACCACACAAAGGCUGCACUGAAGCCAAGAUAUUUCAUAAUCUCCAUUUUAUUUCUUCGAAGCAAAACACAAGCUGAUUUCUCCAACACUGAAAGGAAAGAAAAUAGCCUCCACCCUGCUAAUGAUCCCUCAGGGGAGGCACCAUCAAGAGGCAACACUUCUUGUAGCAGAGAAAAGCCACGGCUGCUGCUGUCCCAGCAUGCAACAUCAGCCCUGAGAGUUAUCUGCAGCCCACAGACAUCAACUAAUCUCAGCGGGUGAGGAACGAAGCCUCUCCCCAUGGGAACUCAGCUGAUUCAGGGAGGGCGGUGAGCAGCAAAGGAGGUUUCUGAAAACAAACCACUGAGCUUCCCAGAGCCCCAAUAAUGUCCAUGCACUCCCCAGAGGGGAUUUGCAGAAAGACAAGAAUAUGGCUGGACAGAAAGACACACAGUUGGAAACAUCCAUUGAAUGUGGCACUGGGAACAGGGAAGAAGGCAAAAAGGAGACAUUUAUUCUUUUUCCAUGAUUGUUUUAUUCUCUCAUUUCAAACCUCUGUCCCAAUUCAACUCCUGUCUAAUGUGCCUGCAGUGACAACCAGAAAAAAUGGCAUUAAUUGUAUUUAUCUCAAUUUACCUUCUUCUUGCUGCCAAGAGAGCAUCCAGUCAUUCUUGACCUGGAAAACCUUUGCCAUCUCAGAGGGAUAGCAGCAUUUCCAUUACUCUCCUACUCCCUAGUUCAGCCUUUCCCAGAGAACAGAGCACAAAUCCAAUGUUCCACCAGGUCUGCUACCAAAGAAAAACCACAUUCAUUUAUGACAAAAGCAUGGGUGAAAAUCAAAGUAGUAAGAAGGAGGAAACAUUUGAAAAGUCAUGAAAUACUAACAUGAUGAGUCUCCUACUCUGUUCUUGCUGCUUUUGAAAGGAUUAAAAUCGAUAUUGGUAUUUCCAAGGAAUUUCUAUGCACAAAAAACUUAAUCUGAGCCAGGCCUUCAUGCCAAUAAAAAUGAUUGUAAUGGUGUCAGAACAAAGAUCCAUCUAAUCCACCAGGUGGUAACUAAAAGAAGAUGCCAGAGCAAGGUAAGCACAGUGAUACUUUCCCAAAUGCUCUUCCAGGCUCCAACAAUUUGUGGCUCACGAACUCUCUGAGACAUAUGUUGUCAUGUAUUUAGUAUCCCUAACAAACUAUUUUUCCUGAGCUUGUCCUGCAUCCCCUUGAACCUAGUUAUGCUCCAGUAUCCAUAAUAACUGAGGCAAGGAGCCAGUUUAACUACACACUGUUAGAAGAAUGACUUCUACCUCCACUCAGUAGAGCUUCCUUCAAGCUUUCCUUAGUACAAAAACCUAACAGCUGAGUAUGCAUGAAAAACACUGGCUGUUCCUAAAAAUCUGCUUGAAUUUUAUCAUAUUAUUCCACAAUUCCUGCUGGAAAUGGGAGAAAAAAAAAAACAAAGAAAAAAAAAUAGGGAAAAGAAAACGUACAAAAAAACCAAACCAAAACAAAACUGAGCAAGUAGGAAAGAAAAGAAAGUGACUACCUGCAAUGAAACAGGUCACUGUAUCAAAACAGAGAAUCUGCAAUUCCUACUUUAAGGACCCAAAGAAUUCUCCCAGACAAGUUUACACAUCUUUUGAAUAUCUGCCCAAGUAUCUCAGCAAGUAGAAAGAUGUUUAAAAUUACCAUUCCCUCUCUCUCUUGACGGCAUACUUGGAGAUGGUUAGAUGCCGUAUUUAUUCCAUCAGGCUCAUGAAAUAAGUCACACCCAAGAAAUGUGCUCCAGAGAUGCCCAUUUCAGACAGUAGAGUAUGACUAACAAGCACGGAGGUCUGUGGUCUUCCCAGUUUUGGUCAAUCCACCUCCCACUUGGACCAUAUCUCAGCACAGACAGGGAAGCCGCACAAAGCUGUCCACCCUUUUGGAUGACUCUACAGUCCUGAUGGAGCAAGAGCUUGGGGCACACACUGCAGUUAGCCACCCACACACAUAGGUUUAUGCACUUUCUGAUGAUUCAUAAACCCAGAUCUAACAGCAGAAUUGAGCCUUUUGUUCAUUAAUUUGGAAUGAAGCAGCAGCUAACAUUUUUUACAGAUGACUGUCAAGGCAAAAUCCUGGACUGAACAAUUCUGCUUAUCUAAAAUGAAUUUCAGCUACACCCUUUAAGGCAAAGCCAUCUCUAUUAAAAGAAAUAAAGAAAAUCCCUAAAUCAUAAUCCUGGAACAUUCAGCCAGAUUCUGUACUCUGUGCAGUCCAUUGUCUAAAUUUUGCAGGGAUCCUCUUUACAACAAAUAUUAUUACUGUGCUACAUAAUCCCUACCCAAGGUGGACUAGUUAAAGAUGGAUCUGUGUAUUCUUAACUGCAAAUUCUUCAGCUUUUGGGUGUUCUUGCUGAGUCUUUAAUAACAAAGCUUUGAAAUUUAAUUACUGUCUUAACAGUUGCAACUAUUAUACUUGAGAUAAAUGCAAGAUGAGUAACAAGCAUGUAAAGGGGGAAUUAACUUUAGUCAAAAAGGAAAUAUAUGAGUAAAUUUUUAUUCAUCAAUAACAAAAUUUAACAAAAUUAACUUUAGUGUUAUAUAUGUCAAGUCCAAUUUUCAAACCACUGGAGAUCUUCCUUCUCACUCCUUCCAGCAAAUUCUAUUCAAUCACUAAUUAUGAAUGAGAGGAAGAGCUGCAAAUCAAAACCAGGAAGGUGAGCAGGCAGUGAGAAGAUGCACAACUGCCAGUUGACUUUACUGCAAGCAUAAUGUGGAAAACGUGCAGCACAGCCACUCAGAUGACUGCCCAUAACAUUCUGAAGAAUUACAUCAGAAGAGAAGAUGACCACACAAGAUUACACUGGCAGACAGCUAAACGAGUCUAAUGCACAAAGCUAGCAUGAGAGGGGCUACGGACAGACAAAAGGCUGCUCUGACACAAAGAUACAUUACCACAUUCCCUUAUUUACAGAAGAGGAAGGAUUAACAAACUGUGUUUCAGCAAUAGAGAGGAGGAAAGCAUUUCCAGACUUUUUUAUAUGAUCAAUCAUUUUCUAUGACCUCCCCACAGCAUUGUUGCUCAUAUUUGCAAAAAAGAACACCAAAGAAGACACUGAAAAAGUAGAACCAGUUAGCAGUCUUCUAUCUUUACUGCUGUUUACUUGAUGACGUAGGCAAAGUUUUAGGCAAUAAUGUGCCUGUGAAAAUGGAUGGGGCCCUGGACAGCCUGACCUAGUGGGUGGCAACCAGCCCAUGGCAGGGAGUUGGAAGUAGAUGGGCUGUAAGGUCCCUUCCAACCCAAGCCAUUCUUAGUUGAUGGUUCUAUGCACAGUUGCAAAUGUAAAGUGUAAACAGAUCACAGCAUACACUGUAUAUAUUCAACAAUAUUUACAAAACUAUACAUUUAGAUGUCAGUUCUGCAAGUGAGUUGACUUUCUCAUGCACCCAUGUAUAUUCAUAAAGCAAUACUUGUCCACUGAGUACAAAAUACCAAACAAGACUACAGGAUUAAAUUUCUCUAGAAUAUUUAGUAAAAUAAAUUAAUUUUGAUAACAUAAGACAUUGCAAUGUUUUUUCUUAGGCACAGCAGGUGCUGCAAGAUGGAGAGAGAGACACAUGACACUAUUUUGUGCUUUAAGUAGCAGGAUUGGGAACAUUAUCCGUGUAAAAAAGAAAUAGUUACUGGGUCAAAAGCAUUGGCCUCUGAGAGCUUUCUUCAGAUAGAAAUAAUAUCCCAUUUGGACAAACUUUUCUUCCUCCUUCUAUAAGCUUCUUCUUUACUCUUCUGCUAUUUUCCAACAUAUUCUAACAGCUAUAUUAUUUCUGUAUGUAUCAAUUUAUACUAUUUAUGAACACCUAUGUAUAUCAUUACACACAUAAAAAUAGUGUUGAAAGAAUUUAGAAGUCCAGCCUCCAAAUGUCAGGAAAUGACAGGAUUCAACUUGCACAUUAAUACACACUUAAAAAACGAUAACAGCGACAACCAAAAAACCUCUUCAUGGUUUCUACACAUAUGAGCACAAAAGAUGUCGAGAAUAUAUAGGAUACCAUGAUCCAAAAUGUCUUUGUAAUACAAGGCAUGCUGGUCAUAAGAAGAUUUCGAGAUCUUUUUACUUCUUUUGCUAGAGAUUCUUCAAAUAUCAAAUAUAAUAUAACGGCAGUGUUGUUUCUUUCUAAAUGCAGUACUAAAACUGAUAGGGAACUUCUAAGCUUCUGUGUUCUGUAAGGCAGAACAUUAGCUUAAGAUUGUAAAAAAAAAAAUCACUGCAAAGUUCAGUUUUUACCCAAUUUACACUGAAUUUCUAAAACUAAGAAUCCCCCUCUUCAUCUUAAUACUCUCACCAAAGAAAAACUUUCUGACAGAAGCUAGAAACUUUCUGUCAUCUAAAAUUUUACGUACUAAGUUCACAGAAUUCAUAUUCUCAUCCAGUGGAACUAGACUUCUGUAUUUCCAAUCUUCCUUCAAACGAAGACAUUACAGAAAGGCUCCCAAGCUUGCCAGUUGUGACACGUAAGUUAUUACCUCUAUGAGUCACUAAUUUUAGGUUCCAUAGAAAGUUCAAGGUCACCUAAUUAUGUGAUUGAUUAUAUCUCAUCUUGGAAUUUUGAGGAUCUCCUCAAGAGUAGUAUCUCCUCUGAUAAAUCAACAGGAAGACAGUUUCAGACCAUUCUGCCCAGAGAACUCUAGGCUUACAGGCUCUUUUGAGAAACCAUCAGCACUGCAACUUCUCCAAGCCCUGUGAAUGCACUGCGCUGGCUGAGAUUGCAACCACCAAGAACUCUGCCAGUUUGUUGCCAAAGUCCUUUACGUAGAUUCACAAUUGCAACUUGUAAAUUGCAUGCAGAAACAGCUAAAGCUCUUGAAACUCAAAAACAUUUCUAGCUUGACCAGUGUGGCCAGCAGGGUUGUAAUUUCUGUGAAUCUAGUAUCUGGGGUUCUUGGAAUUUACCAGCUCUGUUGGCAAAACAGUCACAUCUUGUAAUUGCCAUGUGAACAGGAACGAGUUUCAAGGAACUUACAAGCUCCCCAGGACAGCUGGAGGAAACUGCAAAUGUAGUUCGACAGAUAACUAGUGUUCAUGGAAAUUUGCCAAGCCUUUUCGGAAAACAAAUCAUAGUUCAUGAUGGUUACAGUAUUUCAGUGUUGGAACUACAGUGAGGUCCCCUGCAGAGGUUGUACUCCCUGCUGAAUGCCAGAAUAAGACUCUGUCUUUGCUGGAAAUCUAAGUUGCAUUCUUGGCUGUGUACCUAAAGAAGAACAGAAACUUCCCUGGAGAUCUCUGCAGAUUCUACCAUAUGCCUGAAAAAUACUGUAAAUGUUGAUCUAAUGCAAAUUGACUUCAACAGGUAAACUGUUGAAGAUGUAAUCUGUAUCAUUUAUCUCACAUCAAAUAAAACAGGCACCAGAGGAGCAAGCAAGGGUUGAACCCUCAUAGUUCUGGAAGGCUUGAUGAAAGGUUCGUCUCCACAUGAAGCAGAGCAGAAGACUGUGCAAAUAGAAGUGAAGAGGAUCAACGUAGCACUUGGAAAAUAAUUGUUUCAAUUGUGGAAAAUAAUCUAAGACAAAGCCAUCAGUUUUAACAGUUCCAUACAACAGAAAGUUCGAGUAUCAUCAUAUCCCAGUCUCAGAGAUGAUCUCUCUUCCCAAAAUGAGCUGAAGCAUAUAUCCAAAUCUAAAAUUCUUUAAUACAUUGACAAUUUUUGGAACAAGCUCUGGAUAUACAGCCCGGGGAGCUCUUCUGUACAUUGCAUGAUAUGAGAAUUGUGAAAGACCUUUUCCCCAGAGAACACGAUGCCUGUGGUCUGUUGUCUAAUAUUUCAUCUUUCCAUUUCUGGGCUGACAUUUGAACUGUAACUAUACAGUUCUUUUUAAAAUAUUUGCACAUUUUUGUUCUCCUUCCAGUAAACACUCAGCUUUUCAACCACUAUGAGCACUGGAUUCAAACACACCUCAUGCUGCCAUUUUACCACUAGAGGGCAGCUCAAUAUUUAUUGAUCGUUCUCAUUAGCUCAAAGAAUUAAUUUCACUGCAUUCCUAACCAAUGGGUCUACAACACAUAACUUCAGCUCGAGAGUCUUAUAAGAACCUUCAUUGUUUUAAGGAAAAACACGGUGGUUGCUAUUUGAAUCACUAGCUUAUCAUGUAGUGCCCUUUAAGAGGUAUGCAGUAUCCCUAUACACCAAUUUCCAAAGGAACUGUGCUCAGUUUUGGAAACAACCCUAUAUUUUGCCAGGGUUCCAUUUGUUUCAUUGGUGUAUUUCUUAUCUCAUAGGCUUAUGGUGUUUCUCUGCUGCUUGUAAGUCCAUAUGCUUUAAACAGCAACAACAGCAAUUUAUCAAAACCCGUGUUUUUAAAGGUCAGCAUUCUUUUAUUAUGCACAUUUACUUAAAACCACAAAUCUAUGUUAAGCAAUUUUCAACAGAAAAGAACUGUCUGAUUCAAGUUUCCUUAUUUUUUUCUUUUUUCUCUGCUAUCAAGUCCUCUGUAAUAUGUAUAAAACUCCACCGGUGUCAGACCACACCCUCAAACCAACAUUUAGGACAUUUAAGAUUUGCCUAUUUGUAUGUUCUCCUCUUUAAACUCAUCCAUCCUGAGCCAACAAGUGAUCGCUGUCAAUCAGAUCACAGGAGCUCUCCCACUGACCUCAUACUCAGCUCCAUUCCUUGCUCGGGGUCGGCAGGCUCCACCACACCUCUACACACAGUUUAAGUCAAUGUCUGAUUUAAAUGGGGCUCUAACCACAGAUCUGCACAGACAGAAAGCAAAAGCAUCCUUCAGAUAAGCCCCACAGAAGUUUUCCCAUCCCAUCCUCUUCAAGUGACUCAACAGACAAUGUUACCACAUCUCUUGGUGCCCUUAACUGACAAGUUCCCUUAAUUUUGGUCCUUUAUUCUUCUGAAAGCAGCCAUGAGUUGUAUGGAUUACUGGGGUUUCAAAGCCAGCAACUAAUUGUGCCAUCAUACUCAAGCAAAGUGUGGAUUGAGUUUCCAGCCUCAUUCAGAGACCCAUCCCCUCCUCUUACCCCUUCCACAACACACUUCGCACUGCUGCACAGCAUUAGUGUAACAGAAAAAGAAUUUUUUUCUAAGAGUACCAUAUUAAAACAUUAUGCGAU